CUUGUAGGGGUGGAGGCAUUUGGAUUUUCCCCCUAAUUGCAGGAGACACUGCAGGAUUGGGUGUGGGCAGAGCUGCCUGGCGCUGGCCUUCCAGGCAGCUGUGGCGUUAGCCUCAAUGACCUGCAGUAGAGGCCUUGGAACACACCCCAUGUUGAUCCCUGACCCCUGUGGGGGUCGCCACGCUAGCCCCUGAAAUGGGUGCCACACUGGGACGUUGAUGCUUUGUGGAAGAGAGCACUGCUCGGGGAGUCCACGGCCUGGGUUCUGGGCUCAGCCCCCGUACCCCGGGAGACCUGGGAAGGAACGGCUGUUUGCCGAGCGAGCCCCUGCUGGGGCGGGGCCAGGUGGCAGCUUUGGGGUCUGUCGCCUUAUUUGCUCUGCCCCUGGUUGUGAGGUGGAAGCUUCAUGUCGCCAUUGGCCAGCUGAGAAAGGCUCUCCUGGAGCCGGUGGGACUUGGUGGAGGUGAUCUGGGGGGGGCCCCGGGGGUUGGCCAGACCCCGCCUGGAGAGGUGGCUUUGCUGUGCCGGUGGCCCCGACAGCCUGAAAGAUGGCAUGUCUCAGUGGGGGAGGGAUGUGCUGUGGGGACACUCCAGCCCAAGGAGAAACUUCUCUGGGACAGAGGAGCCUGACCGGCCCCGGAGCGAUGACAGGAGCGGUGGCUGGACUCCAGGUGGUGACAGGCUGGCUCCUCGGCUGUCCUCGGAAGGCUUGAUGAGAAGCUGCCAGUAGACCCGUCAUCCCUGUGUGACGGGGAAAGAAGGGAGAGAUCAGGUCAGAGAGGCUGUGAAGUGUUAGCCGGUCGCUGUUAUGGUGUUAGUGACACCAACACAGGAGGGGCCCGAAGGAGGACUGCUGAGAGCCCUGGUUGUGGAGUCUAGACGCCUGUUGCCAUCCCAGCACCCCACCCCCACCAGCCCCGUGGCUUCAGCUGCUGAGGACAAGAAGCAAUCGCAGUUUCCUUUGGGAGCUGAACGUAGAGGGGAGGAAAGAAUUUGCAAAAGCUGCGAGCCUGGACGUGAGAAGGGACCACACAGCAGGCCGGGGAGAUUGAGAGGCAGAACUCAGUGUCCCCUAGCCACGAGAACGCGGUUGAGAGUGGCAGGCACGGUGAUGAGAGGUCGGAUCCGGCCGGCCCUCUCUGUCUGGGCAGGCCUGUUGUCUCGGGGCACACAGACAGGGAGGCCGUGACGUGGGAAGCCCAGGGUGCUGACGCAGGAAGGGGCGCCUGGCCAAGCUGGCAGGGCCCGGAGGCAGGCUGGGAGGAGGUGAUCCUUGACCUGAAUUUUAAAGAUCAAGCGGGACUAAGCCAAGGGUAGACAAGGGAGAACAUCCUGGCCGAGCCCAGCACAAGCAAAGGCGUGGAGACGAGAAUCUGAGGACCCCAGCGGCAGGUGGCGGGGGUCGGGGAGUGGGGGAGGGGAGAAGGUAAGACGGCCAGCGGCC
rnacentral:lncRNA from 1 species